rnacentral:rRNA from 1 species
AACGAACGCUGGCGGCGUGUCUUAAGCAUGCAAGUCGAGCGGCAAGGCGGGGCAACCCGCCCUAGAGCGGCGGACUGGUGAGUAACGCGUGGAUGAUCUACCUUUGGGAUGGGGAUAGCCAUUAGAAAUAGUGGGUAAUACCGAAUACGUUCCCAUGGUUGCGACCAUGGGAGGAAAGGCGCUACGGCGCCACCCAUAGAUGAGUCUGCGUCCCAUUAGCUAGUUGGUGGGGUAAUGGCCUACCAAGGCGAUGAUGGGUAGCCGGCCUGAGAGGGUGUACGGCCACAUUGGGACUGAGAUACGGCCCAAACUCCUACGGGUGGCAG